UACGUAGGAGGCAAGCGUUGUCCGGAUUUACUGGGCGUAAAGCGCGCGCAGGCGGCAGUGCAAGUAAGGUGUGAAAUCUCCCUGCUCAACGGGGAGGGUGCAUUUUAGACUGCACAGCUAGAGGUCGGUAGAGGGGGGUGGAAUUGCUGGUGUAGCGGUGAAAUGCGUAGAGAUCAGCAGGAACACCCGUGGCGAAGGCGGCCCCCUGGGCCGUACCUGACGCUGAGGCGCGAAGGCUAGGGGAGCGAACGG
rnacentral:rRNA from 1 species